rnacentral:rRNA from 1 species
AUGGCGGAGCUGGCGGUGGGGCUGGCCAAGUCGGUGGUGGCGGGGACGCUGAGCAAGGCGCACGCGGCGGUGCAGGAGGAGGCCAAGCUGCGCCUCAGCGCGCGCCGGGACCUCGUCUUCAUCACGGAGGAGUUCGAGAUGAUGCAGUCCUUUCUCAACGUCGCCAACGCGGAGCGCGUCGAGAACCCGGUGGUGCGGACCUGGGUGCGCCAGAUCCGCGAGCUGGCCUACGACGUGGAGGACUGCAUCGAGCUCGUCGUCCACCUCGACAAGGGCAAGACCAGCUUCUGCUUCCGCCUCCGCCGGCUCUGCGUCCCCUGGGCGCGCCCGCCGCGCCCGCCGGCUCUGGACCAGGCGGUGGACGAGAUAGAGCAGCUCAAGGCCAGGGUCGCCGACGUCAGCACCAGGAACGCGCGCUACAGCCUCAUCAGCGACACUGGCUCCAGGCCCGUCCCGCAGCAGCAGCUGACGGCGGCAGCCGCCGCCGGCGACACGGACAUGCUCGCCGAGGCGAGGGAUGCCGCCCGGAGAGAGCACCACGUCCUCGAUCUCACCCAGCUCAUCACCAGACAAGUCAGUGACGACCACGACCUUCAGGUGAUCUCCAUCUGGGGCUCCGCCGGCGAAAAUGGGACCACAUCCAUCAUAACCAAGAGCUACAUUGACCCAGAGAUCUGCAGAACCUUCACCCACCGCGCCUGGGUGAAGCUAAUGCGUCCUUUCAGUCCCCAAGAUUUCAUCCGGAGCUUGAUGCUCCAGUUCUGUGCAGCCACAGGUACAGAUGUGCUAACAAUGAUGCAGGAAACCCAGGAAGUUCUCUUCAGGGGCUUCCAGGAGCUACUUACACAGACACAGGGGAGGUACCUCCUCGUCGUGGAAGACCUGUCAAACAUGGCCGAUUGGCAUUCUUUGAAGACUUUCCUUCCGGACAGGAUGAAAGGAAGCUGGAUCGUCGUGUCCACGCAGCAACCCGAAGUAGCAAGCUCGUGCAUCGGGGCCCCGUACCAGAUACUAGAGCUCAAACAGUUCUCGCCCGAGCACUCUGUUUGUGCCCUCUUCAAGAAGGGUUCUCCUGACGGUGGAGAUAAAGGCAAGAAACCAGCUGACAAUGAUUCUUUUCUCGUUGGACGUGAGUCACAAAUGAAAGAACUUUCUGAAUAUCCAGCAAAAGCACGUAUAAGGUCUUGCCAAGUUGUGUCUGUAUGGGGGAUUGCGGGUGUUGGGAAAUCAGCUCUGGUGAAAAAGUUGUACGAUGAGAAAAUGUGCUAUACAAAACUAUUUGAGAAGUAUCGCUGGGUGAAUGUAUCUCAUCCAUUCAAUUUAAGGGAUUUCCGUCGGAGCUUACCUCCGGAUUUUCAUUUUAAGGAAUCAAGGUGGCUCAUUGUUAUUGAUGAUAUCCGGUCCAAAAAAGAAUGGGACUUGAUACAGUCUUCUUUGGCAAUGCCUAGAUCCUCUAUGAGUGUUAUUUUAGUCAUUACAACUGAUAAAAGCAUUGCUGCAUAUUGUGCAAAUAGCGAAGAGCUCAUGUUUAAUGUCAAAGGUCUAGAAGCUGCAGCAGCCUUACGUCUGUUCAGAGCUGAGGUAUCCAAGACAAAUCCAUCUGUCACGACAGCUCUAGAAGAUUUCCAAGUACAAGAACUUAUUUUGAAGUGUGGAGGUCUCCCCAAAGUAAUUGUUGCCAUAGCAGGCGCAUUGGCCAAACAAACGGUCACAUGGAUGGAUACUGUAGUUUCUUUGAAUCAGAGAUUUAUGCACCACCUGCAGACCAAGCCAGACUAUGAUAGUUUACGUGCUCUAUUUGGUUGGAUGCAUUCCUACUUCCACACUUGCCCAGAUUCACUCAAGCCAUGCAUCUUCUACCUGUCAAUCUAUCCUCGAGACCACCCCGUUCGGCGAAGGAGACUAGUAAGGCGGUGGAUUGCAGAGGGCUACUCCAGGGACGGCGAUGAAGAAUCAGCGGAGGAGAAUGGGGAGAGGCAGUUUUCCGAGCUCCUUGAUCUGAGCAUAAUCCAGCAGCUACCGCACUUAGUCACCAAUGCAUUGGACACAAGGAUGGUGUUAUGUCAGGUCAAUGGUUUCAUCCGCGAGUACAUCAUCCCGCGGCGAAAAGAAGAGAACCUUAUGUUUGAGCUGGGGGCUAAUUGUGCCCUAACCACUCGGCGCACAGGACGCCACCUUAUCAUAUUACACGACUGGAACAGAGACAGAAUUGUGUUUGAGAGCAUGGAUUUCUCGCGGCUGAGGUCACUAACAGUGUUUGGGAAGUGGGAAUCCUUCUUCAUCUCUGAAAAUAUGUUUCUUCUUCGGGUGCUUGAUCUAGAGGAUGCAUCAGGUUUAGAUUACGAUGAUCUUGAGAACAUAGUAAAAUGGCUGCGUCGCCUCAAGUUCCUCUCAUUGCGAGGACGGCGUGAGAUCCACCAUCUGCCGGGCAAUAUGGAUCAUCUGAGGCAACUGCAGACUUUGGAUGUCAGAGGCACCUCCAUAGUCACCCUGCCAGAGAACAUCACGAAGUUGCAGAAGCUGCAGUACAUUCGUGCUGGCACCAACGACGUCCCAGCAUCUACAUCGCCGCCUAGUGCAUCCAACUGGCUACCCAAAAUCUGCGCAUGCCAUCAUAGAGUUGGCGUUGAGGUGCCUGCAGGAAUUGGGAAACUAACGGCAUUGCACACGCUUGGUGUUGUGAAUGUUGCUGCUUCAGGAGGGAAGGCCAUGGCGAAAGCCCUCAAGAAGCUCACACAGUUACGCAAGCUCGGAGUGUCUGGCAUCAACAGGAAGAACAUCAAAGAGUUUUUCUCUGCAAUCAAGGGGCAUGUUCAUCUGGAAUCAUUGUCAGUCCGGCUUGACAAGGACAAUCAAGGCUGUUUCUUGGAUGAUGAGAUAUCCUUGCCCUGGAAGAAUCUACGGAGUCUUAAAUUGUAUGGGCUCCAAGAUAGGUUGCCGUUACUAAGGGGCCUUGAAUAUCAGCAAGUAUUGAGUGACCAGUUCAGCAAACUCACGAAGAUGGAUCUGGAGAUGGCCACUUUAAAUGAACAAGACAUCAAAUUCCUUGGUGAGGUGCCGAAACUAUGCAUUCUACGCCUUCGUAUCAAGCAGCCCAGUCUAAAUUUUAUCGUCAAGAUAGAUGCAAGCGUGUUGGCCGCCUACAAAAAGGUCAAGAUCCUCGAGAUUGGUUGCAGCUCCAGCCCAUUAUCAGUGGAAUUUGGAUCAGAGACAAUGAAAAAUCUUGAGCUGCUCAAGCUUGACUGCUCCAGUGGGACAACAUACGCUCUUGAUGGCCUGGAUUUUCUAUCUGAACUCAAAGAAGUCUCGCUUAUUGGUAGCAAGGAUGGUACAUUCAACACUGAACUGACGAACAAACUCGGCAAACACCCAAAGAAACCUGUCUUGAAGAUGGAGGAAUUACCACUUCCGUGCUGA